rnacentral:rRNA from 1 species
UACAGAGGUCCCAAGCGUUGUUCGGAUUCAUUGGGCGUAAAGGGUGCGUAGGCGGCGCGGUAAGUCGGGUGUGAAAUCUCGGAGCUUAACUCCGAAACUGCAUUCGAUACUGCCGUGCUUGAGGACUGGAGAGGAGACUGGAAUUUACGGUGUAGCGGUGAAAUGCGUAGAUAUCGUAAGGAAGACCAGUGGCGGAGGCGGGUCUCGUGGACAGUUCCUGACGCUGAGGCACGAAGGCCAGGGGAGCGAACGGG